GCAGGCGCGAAACCUUUACACUGCACGCCAGUGCGAUAAGGGGACCCCGAGUGCGAGGGCAUACAGUCCUCGCUUUUCGUGACCGUAAAAUGGUCACAGAAUAAGGGCUGGGCAAGACCGGUGCCAGCCGCCGCGGUAAUACCGGCAGCCCGAGUGAUAGCCACUCUUAUUGGGCCUAAAGCGUCCGUAGCCGGCCGAACAGGUCCGUCGGGAAAUCCACCUGCUCAACGGGUGGGCGUCCGGCGGAAACCAGUCGGCUUGGGGCCGAGAGACCAGAGGGGUACGUCCGGGGUAGGAGUGAAAUCCUGUAAUCCUGGACGGACCACCGGUUGCGAAAGCGCCUCUGGAGAACGGACCCGACGGUGAGGGACGAAAGCUUGGGUCUCGAACCGGAUUAGAUACCCGGGUAGUCCAAGCUGUAAACGAUGCUCGCUAGGUGUGGCGCAGGCUACGAGCCUGCGCUGUGCCGUAGGGAAGCCGAGAAGCGAGCCGCCUGGGAAGUACGUCUGCAAGGAUGAAACUUAAAGGAAUUGGCGGGGGAGCACUACAACCGGAGGAGCCUGCGGUUUAAUUGGAGUCAACGCCGG
rnacentral:rRNA from 1 species